CACCUACAAUGUGGGAGACCUGGGUUCGAUCCCUGGGUUGGGAAGAUCCCCUGGAGAAGGGAAAGGCUACCCACUCCAGUAUUCCAGCCUGGGGAAUUCCAUGGACUGUAGAGUCCACGAGGUCACAAAGAAUCAGACAUGACUGAGGGACUCACUUUCACUUUCCACUGUCUUGAGUGUUCUCCAAGGAUUACAGUACAUCACCAUUUCUCCUUGCAGGAGAAACCACAGGGAGCAGGACAAACACUUCCCCAUUUGUGACAUCUAGUGGCUUUGCAUCUGCAUGACAACUUCUUAGGCAGAGAAGGAAAAUCUGGCAACAGGCCUCUGCUGGGUUUCUCCAACUCCUGAAAAAACACCAGAGCACUCCUCUCUCCCCACAAGAGUUCAGCAGUGUUCCAGUCUAAGAGCCAAGUGGAUUAAAAUAUAAGGCAUCUAUCUGUAUGCAGAGUAUUCAUCUGGAUUCAGGAAAGCACAAAAAAUAAACUGUUCCAAAGGCUAAAAAUGAUAAUGAUAGGGAAGAACUGAAAAGCUAAUUCCCAUCCUCAGGCUAUUCCUUAGCAUCAGAAAGACAAUUAAGGAGCUGGCCAGCCUCUAGAGCAGCAUCUUGUUUCAUAGUGAGAGAUUGCUCUCAGAAUGAAUUUUCAGGCUUAAUAGCUGGUGUCUUCAUGGAUGCUGGUUGCUCAGGAAAGAACUCAGACAUCGAUCCACUCUUUCAUCAUUUCUGUGACAAUGAGCUGGGGUAAAGGUGGAAGAAAAGACACAGGUGGGUCUUGGAAAGUGAAGCCUAAAAGCCUUUCUUCCUGCAAAGCCAUCAUAACAAAGAAGCACCCACUGCAGAAAUGUCCAGAAAACCCCAACCUGGUGUACACAAGAAAAAAGUGUCUGUCUGAGACUGCC
ensembl:lncRNA